UACAGAGGUCUCAAGCGUUGUUCGGAUUCAUUGGGCGUAAAGGGUGCGUAGGCGGCGCGGUAAGUCGGGUGUGAAAUCUCGGAGCUUAACUCCGAAACUGCAUUCGAUACUGCCGUGCUUGAGGACUGGAGAGGAGACUGGAAAUUUACGGUGUAGCGGUGAAAUGCGUAGAUAUCAGGAGGAACACCAAUGGCGAAGGCAGCUCGCUGGGACGUGAACUGACGCUGGAGACGCGAAAGCCGUGGGGAGCAAACAGG
rnacentral:rRNA from 1 species